rnacentral:rRNA from 1 species
UACGUAGGGUGCGAGCGUUGCCCGGAUUUAUUGGGCGUAAAGGGCGCGUAGGCGGCUCGGCACGUCCGUUGUGAAAUCGCCCGGCUCAACUGGGCGGGGUCAGCGGAUACGGUCGAGCUUGAGCAAGCUAGGGGGCAAUGGAAUUCCCGGUGUAGUGGUGGAAUGCGUAGAUAUCGGGAGGAACACCCGUGGCGUAAGCGGCCACCUAGCCCGUUGCUGACGCUGAAGCGCGACAGCGUGGGGAGCGAACUGG